GGAAGCCGGGUUACGGUGCCCAACUGCGCGCUAACCUAGAACCCACAAAGGGUGUUGGUCGAUUAAGACAGCAGGACGGUGGUCAUGGAAGUCGAAAUCCGCUAAGGAGUGUGUAACAACUCACCUGCCGAAUCAACUAGCCCCGAAAAUGGAUGGCGCGUGAGCGCGCGACCCACACCCGGCCAUCUGGGCGAGCGCCAUGCCCCGAUGAGUAGGAGGGCGCGGC
rnacentral:ncRNA from 1 species